rnacentral:rRNA from 1 species
UAAGUGAAGAGUUUGAUCCUGGCUCAGAGUGAACGCUGGCGGUAGGCCUAACACAUGCAAGUCGAACGGCAGCACAGAGGAGCUUGCUCCUUGGGUGGCGAGUGGCGGACGGGUGAGGAAUACAUCGGAAUCUACUCUGUCGUGGGGGAUAACGUAGGGAAACUUACGCUAAUACCGCAUACGACCUACGGGUGAAAGCAGGGGAUCUUCGGACCUUGCGCGAUUGAAUGAGCCGAUGUCGGAUUAGCUAGUUGGCGGGGUAAAGGCCCACCAAGGCGACGAUCCGUAGCUGGUCUGAGAGGAUGAUCAGCCACACUGGAACUGAGACACGGUCCAGACUCCUACGGGAGGCAGCAGUGGGGAAUAUUGGACAAUGGGCGCAAGCCUGAUCCAGCCAUACCGCGUGGGUGAAGAAGGCCUUCGGGUUGUAAAGCCCUUUUGUUGGGAAAGAAAUCCAGCUGGCUAAUACCCGGUUGGGAUGACGGUACCCAAAGAAUAAGCACCGGCUAACUUCGUGCCAGCAGCCGCGGUAAUACGAAGGGUGCAAGCGUUACUCGGAAUUACUGGGCGUAAAGCGUGCGUAGGUGGUCGUUUAAGUCCGUUGUGAAAGCCCUGGGCUCAACCUGGGAACUGCAGUGGAUACUGG